UACGUAGGUGACGAGCGUUAUCCGGAAUUAUUGGGCGUAAAGCGCACGCAAGCGGUUCUGCAAGUCUGACGUGAAGUCUCCUGGCUUAACUGGGAGCGGUCGUUGGAAACUGCGGAGCUUGAGGCGAUGAGAGGGGUGCAGAAUUCCCGGUGUAGUGGUGGAAUGCGUAGAGAUCGGGGGGAAUACCUGUGGCGAAAACGGCACCCUGGCGUCGUACUGACGCUCAUGUGCGAAAGCGUGGGGAGCGAACGGG
rnacentral:rRNA from 1 species